rnacentral:rRNA from 1 species
GACGAACGCUGACGGCGUGCUUAACACAUGCAAGUCGAAGGGAGAGGCGAACGGGUGAGUAACACGUGAGUAACCUGCCAUUUUCUUUGGGAUAAGCCUGGGAAACUGGGUAUAAUACUGGAUGGAUUGGGAUGGGCUCGCGGCUUAUCCGCUUGUGGGUGGGGUUAUGGCGUACCAAGGCUUUGACGGGUAGCCGGCCUGAGAGGGUGGUCGGUGACACUGGGACUGAGAUACGGCCCAGACUCCUACGGGAGGCAGCAGUGGGGGAUAUUGCACAAUGGACGAAAGUCUGAUGCAGCCAUGCCGCGUGUAUGAAGAAGGCCUUCGGGUUGUAAAGUACUUUCAGCGGGGAGGCGUUACCCGCAGAAGAAGCACCGGCUAACUCCGUGCCAGCAGCCGCGGUAAUAC